AUUGAACGCUAGCGGGAUGCCUUACACAUGCAAGUCGAACGGCGUGGCGAACGGGUGAGUAAUGUAUCGGAACGUGCCCAGUAGCGGGGGAUAACUACGCGAAAGCGUAGCUAAUACCGCAUCCUUUUUGAGCAGCCGAUAUCGGAUUAGCUAGGUGGUGGGGUAACGGCUCAACAGGGCGACGAACCGUAGCUGGUUGGAGAGGACGACCAGCCACACUGGAACUGAGACACGGCCCAGACUCCUACGGGAGUCAGCAGUGGGGAAUUUUGGACAAUGGGGGAAACCCUGAUCCAGCCAUCCCGCGUGUGCGAUGAAGGCCUUCGGGUUGUAAAGCACUUUUGGCAGGAAAGCGGUACCUGCAGAAUAAGCACCGGCUAACUACGUGCCAGCAGCCGCGGUAAUUC
rnacentral:rRNA from 1 species